rnacentral:tRNA from 1 species
GCCUGGGUGGCUCAGUCAGUUAAGCGUCUGACUUCGGUUCAGGUCAUGAUCUCACAGUUUGUGAGUUCGAGCCCCGCAUCAGGCU